rnacentral:tRNA from 1 species
UGUAGCUCAGUGGUAGAGCUCUUGCCUAGCAUGUGGGAUGCCCUGGGUUUAAUCCCCAGCA